AAAGACAUAACUGAUUUGUAUAGAUAACAAAUAGACACAAUGAUCUGUGACUCUCCAUAUUUGUAACUCUCUAAUGUAACAACACAAACUGCAACGUUAAGACUGAAACGUUGCAACUGUUAACCAAAAUCAAUUAUCAACUAACAGGGUUCAGCUUUUAGCCAUCUGAAAUGUUAUAGAACUUGGCAGACAGGUGCUGUAAAUAUUCUGUGGUAUGACGUUUAUGAGGGUUCAUUAUGUGCUCCAGUUCCUUAAAAGAAGAAGUUGAAAGACAAGAUGGCUGAGUUUCAGGUAAUGGACACCUUGGCGGAGAUCCAAGAAAGUCAUGAUGCUGUCAGAGACUUAGAAAAGAAACUUCUUGACUUGCAACAAGUUUCUUAAAUAUGGCGGUUUUGGUAGUUGGACAAGGAGAAAUGCUUGACAACCUAGAAUCUCAGGUAAUUUGGUAUCUCUGAGUGUUGAAAUUAGAAGGUUUCAAAA